GGGGGAGAAACUUAAGGGUUCAAGUGUUAGUCUGUCGCACUAAAAAUUGCGGGUUCGAGUCCCGCCUCUCUCG
rnacentral:tRNA from 1 species